rnacentral:rRNA from 1 species
GGAAUUUUGCGCAAUGGGCUAACGCCUGACGCAGCAACGCCGCGUGGAGGAUGAAGGUCUUUGGAUUGUAAACUCCUGUCAGCAGGGAAAAAGCGACUUAGCCUAAUACGCUAGGGAGUUGAUUGUACCUGCAGAGGAAGCCCCGGCUAACUCUGUGCCAGCAGCCGCGGUAAUACAGAGGGGGCGAGCGUUAUUCGGAAUUAUUGGGCGUAAAGGGCGCGUAGGCGGCUUUUCAAGUGGCGGGUGAAAUCCCUCGGCUUAACCGGGGAACUGCCUGCCAGACUGGAUUGCUUGAGGCCGGGAGAGGUGAGUGGAAUUCCCAGUGUAGCGGUGAAAUGCGUAGAUAUUGGGAGGAACACCAGUGGCGAAGGCGGCUCACUGGACCGGUGCUGACGCUGAGGCGCGAAAGCGUGGGGAGCAAA